rnacentral:rRNA from 1 species
GAUGAACGCUGGCGGCGUGCCUAAUACAUCCAAGUCGAGCGAACAGACGAGGAGCUUGCUCCUCUGACGUUAGCGGCGGACGGGUGAGUAACACGUGGAUAACCUACCUAUAAGACUGGGAUAACUUCGGGAAACCGGAGCUAAUACCGGAUAAUAUAUUGAACCGCAUGGUUCAAUAGUGAAAGACGGUUUUGCUGUCACUUAUAGAUGGAUCCGCGCCGCAUUAGCUAGUUGGUAAGGUAACGGCUUACCAAGGCAACGAUGCGUAGCCGACCUGAGAGGGUGAUCGGCCACACUGGAACUGAGACACGGUCCAGACUCCUACGGGAGGCAGCAGUAGGGAAUCUUCCGCAAUGGGCGAAAGCUUGACGGAGCAACGCCGCGUGAGUGAUGAAGGUCUUCGGAUCGUAAAACUCUGUUAUUAGGGAAGAACAAAUGUGUAAGUAACUAUGCACGUCUUGACGGUACCUAAUCAGAAAGCCACGGCUAACUACGUG